GCCAGCCCCAACGGGAAGUUUAGGGCUGCUCUGAAUCGGAGAAUUCAUCUGCUUUUCCUGGAACUGCCCCCUGGAGAGGGACGAGCCAAGCCCCACUGGGUGCAAACAGGCAGAGGGGAUCGGAGGCCUCCAGGCAGGCGCCUUCAGGGACUACAACUCCCAGCCAGUCCCAACCCCGCUGCUGCCACCAGAAUGGAGACGUCGGAACUCGAGACAGGAGGGUCUCAGCAACUUUUCUGAGCUGGAUUGGGACACGUAACCUGAAACACAACUUGUGCAAAUCAAGAAAUCUUAAAACCUGCAAGUAAGUUUCUCAGAUUUUGGUUUCAAAUAAGUUAGGUGUCAAAUUGGAGUUUCCAAAAUCUGGACUCGUGCAACCUCUUAGUCGGGGGGGUCUCCAAAUU